rnacentral:rRNA from 1 species
UAAGUAGGUAGUGAAAGCGUUCGGCUCAACCGGAUAUCCAUUACCUAAACUGCUAAGCUAGAGGAUGAGAGAGGUUAUUGGAAUUCCCUGUGUAGGAGUGAAAUCCGUAGAUAUAGGGAGGAACACCGAUGGCGUAGGCAGAUAACUGGCUCAUUCCUGACACUAAGGCACGAAAGCGUGGGGAGCAAACGGGAUUAGAUACCCCGGUAGUCCACGCCGUAAACUAUGGAUGCUA